rnacentral:lncRNA from 1 species
GAGAACUGUAAGACAGGUGAAAAGAUAAUGUAUUCGUCUGCCAACUGAAGAACUUGAAAACAACAGAACAACUGGUGCUUUAGAUCUGUUAUGAGGAAAAUGGAAAUUCUGAUCCUGGAAGGCAGAGUCCACAUGCCAUCUUGAGAGCAAAGCUGUGGCUGAGUGAGUAAAG